rnacentral:rRNA from 1 species
GACGGGGGGAGCGAGCGUUGUUCGGAAUCACUGGGCGUAAAGGGCGUGUAGGCGGUCAGGUAAGUGGGAUGUGAAAUGCCUCGGCUCACCCGAGGCACUGCAUUCCAAACUGCUUGGCUUGAGUAUGGGAGAGGAUGAGGGAAUUCCUGGUGUAGCGGUGAAAUGCGUAGAUAUCAGGAGGAACACCGGUGGCGAAAGCGCUCAUCUGGCCCAAUACUGACGCUGAUGCGCGAAAGCUAGGGGAGCAAACGGG